GACAGAGGGUGCAAACGUUGCUCGGAAUUACUGGGCGUAAAGCGCGUGUAGGUGGAUUGGUGUGUCAGAUGUGAAAUCCCUGGGCUCAACCCAGGAACUGCACCUGAAACUACCAGUCUUGAGUGGUGGAGAGGGAAGUGGAAUUCCUGGUGUAGAGGUGAAAUUCGUAGAUAUCAGGAGGAACACCAGUGGCGAAGGCGGCUUCCUGGACACCAACUGACGCUGAGACGCGAAAGCGUGGGAGCAAACAGG
rnacentral:rRNA from 1 species